rnacentral:rRNA from 1 species
CAGGCUUAACACAUGCAAGUCGAGGGGCAGCAUGGUCUUAGCUUGCUAAGGCCGAUGGCGACCGGCGCACGGGUGAGUAACACGUAUCCAACCUGCCGUCUACUCUUGGACAGCCUUCUGAAAGGAAGAUUAAUACAAGAUGGCAUCAUGAGUCCGCAUGUUCACAUGAUUAAAGGUAUUCCGGUAGACGAUGGGGAUGCGUUCCAUUAGAUAGUAGGCGGGGUAACGGCCCACCUAGUCUUCGAUGGAUAGGGGUUCUGAGAGGAAGGUCCCCCACAUUGGAACUGAGACACGGUCCAAACUCCUACGGGAGGCAGCAGUGAGGAAUAUUGGUCAAUGGGCGAGAGCCUGAACCAGCCAAGUAGCGUGAAGGAUGACUGCCCUAUGGGUUGUAAACUUCUUUUAUAAAGGAAUAAAGUCGGGUAUGGAUACCCGUUUGCAUGUACUUUAUGAAUAAGGAUCGGCUAACUCCGUGCCGGCAGCCGCGGUAAUACGGAGGAUCCGAGCGUUAUCCGGAUUUAUUGGGUUUAAAGGGAGCGUAGAUGGAUGUUUAAGUCAGUUGUGAAAGUUUGCGGCUCAACCGUAAAAUUGCAGUUGAUACUGGAUAUCUUGAGUGCAGUUGAGGCAGGCGGAAUUCGUGGUGUAGCGGUGAAAUGCUUAGAUAUCACGAAGAACUCCGAUUGCGAAGGCAGCCUGCUAAGCUGCAACUGACAUUGAGGCUCGAAAGUGUGGGUAUCAAACAGGAUUAGAUACCCUGGUAGUCCACACGGUAAACGAUGAAUACUCGCUGUUUGCGAUAUACUGCAAGCGGCCAAGCGAAAGCGUUAAGUAUUCCACCUGGGGAGUACGCCGGCAACGGUGAAACUCAAAGGAAUUGACGGGGGCCCGCACAAGCGGAGGAACAUGUGGUUUAAUUCGAUGAUACGCGAGGAACCUUACCCGGGCUUAAAUUGCAGAUGAAUUACGGUGAAAGCCGUAAGCCGCAAGGCAUCUGUGAAGGUGCUGCAUGGUUGUCGUCAGCUCGUGCCGUGAGGUGUCGGCCUAAGUGCCAUAACGAGCGCAACCCUUGUUGUCAGUUACUAACAGGUUCCGCUGAGGACUCUGACAAGACUGCCAUCGUAAGAUGUGAGGAAGGUGGGGAUGACGUCAAAUCAGCACGGCCCUUACGUCCGGGGCUACACACGUGUUACAAUGGGGGGUACAGAGGGCCGCUACCACGCGAGUGGAUGCCAAUCCCCAAAACCUCUCUCAGUUCGGACUGGAGUCUGCAACCCGACUCCACGAAGCUGGAUUCGCUAGUAAUCGCGCAUCAGCCACGGCGCGGUGAAUACGUUCCCGGGCCUUGUACACACCGCCCGUCAAGCCAUGGGAGCCGGGGGUACCUGAAGUGCGUAACCGCGAGGAGCGCCCUAGGGUAAAACUGGUGACUGG